GUCAACAGACAAGUAGUUUGCAAUUCAAGGUAUAGGUGUUGAUGCCCAAGCUACUAUACCAAUGGAUGUGUAGAAAAAUAUUGAAUCCUAUGUCAAAAUAAUGGGCUCUCAUGGACAAUUAUGGUGGAAAGUGAAGUCUCCUAUAUUCCAAGCGCACGACGAAAACAAAAAGAUGUUCACCAAAGGUCAGGAGGUCACAGAGAAGCAAUCAAUAGAUCACCAACCUUUCUUUUAGAUACAAAGGCACCUGUCAUGGCAACACCUAUCUUUUAGAUACAAGCUAUUGGCUAUUACAUGAGCUCAUUGGAAAGGGAUGGCACAACUACCUUCUCAGUCAGCCAACCAUGAUCGAUGCAAAUUUAUGAAUGAAGAUGGAUCGUAGAAAAUCAUCCAAACGGUGUUCAGCUACGACGCAUACAAAUGUUGCAAGAACAAAAUGGCAUUGGAAUCGGAUUGAAUGGUCAAACAUGAAAACUCACGAGUUCGCACAGCCUUCCAAGUCAAACCCUUUAAUUGCUGUUAGUGUGCACGAUUCCCAGUAACUUGUUGCGCUGAAACUACAAAGAGUUGACCUCAAUGUCGAGCAUAAAACUAAAACUGGA